GACGAACGCUGGCGGCGUGCCUAAUACAUGCAAGUUGAGCGCUGAAGGUUGGUACUUGUACCAACUGGAUGAGCAGCGAACGGGUGAGUAACGCGUGGGGAAUCUGCCUUUGAGCGGGGGACAACAUUUGGAAACGAAUGCUAAUACCGCAUAAAAACUUUAAACACAAGUUUUAAGUUUGAAAGAUGCAAUUGCAUCACUCAAAGAUGAUCCCGCGUUGUAUUAGCUAGUUGGUGAGGUAAAGGCUCACCAAGGCGAUGAUACAUAGCCGACCUGAGAGGGUGAUCGGCCACCUUGGGACUGAGACAAGGCCCAAACUCCUACGGGAGGCAGCAGUAGGGAAUCUUCGGCAAUGGACGAAAGGCUGACCGAGCAACGCCGCGUGAGUGAAGAAGGUUUUCGGAUCGUAAAACUCUGUUGGUAGAGAAGAACGUUGGUGAGAGUGGAAAGCUCAUCAAGUGACGGUAACUACCCAGAAAGGGACGGCUAACUACGUG
rnacentral:rRNA from 1 species